AUGAACGCUAGCGACAGGCUUAACACAUGCAAGUCGAGGGGCAGCACAGGUAGCAAUACCGGGUGGCGACCGGCGCACGGGUGAGUAACGCGUAUGCAACUUGCCUAUCAGAGGGGGAUAACCCGGCGAAAGUCGGACUAAUACCGCAUGAAGCAGGGAUCCCGCAUGGGAAUAUUUGCUAAAGAUUCAUCGCUGAUAGAUAGGCAUGCGUUCCAUUAGGCAGUUGGCGGGGUAACGGCCCACCAAACCGACGAUGGAUAGGGGUUCUGAGAGGAAGGUCCCCCACAUUGGUACUGAGACACGGACCAAACUCCUACGGGAGGCAGCAGUGAGGAAUAUUGGUCAAUGGCCGAGAGGCUGAACCAGCCAAGUCGCGUGAGGGAUGAAGGUUCUAUGGAUCGUAAACCUCUUUUAUAAGGGAAUAAAGUGCGGGACGUGUCCCGUUUUGUAUGUACCUUAUGAAUAAGGAUCGGCUAACUCCGUGCCAGCAGCCGCGGUAAUACGGAGGAUCCGAGCGUUAUCCGGAUUUAUUGGGUUUAAAGGGUGCGUAGGCGGCCUUUUAAGUCAGCGGUGAAAGUCUGUGGCUCAACCAUAGAAUUGCCGUUGAAACUGGGGGGCUUGAGUAUGUUUGAGGCAGGCGGAAUGCGUGGUGUAGCGGUGAAAUGCAUAGAUAUCACGCAGAACCCCGAUUGCGAAGGCAGCCUGCCAAGCCAUUACUGACGCUGAUGCACGAAAGCGUGGGGAUCAAACAGGAUUAGAUACCCUGGUAGUCCACGCAGUAAACGAUGAUCACUAGCUGUUUGCGAUACACUGUAAGCGGCACAGCGAAAGCGUUAAGUGAUCCACCUGGGGAGUACGCCGGCAACGGUGAAACUCAAAGGAAUUGACGGGGGCCCGCACAAGCGGAGGAACAUGUGGUUUAAUUCGAUGAUACGCGAGGAACCUUACCCGGGUUUGAACGCAUUCGGACCGAGGUGGAAACACCUUUUCUAGCAAUAGCCGUUUGCGAGGUGCUGCAUGGUUGUCGUCAGCUCGUGCCGUGAGGUGUCGGCUUAAGUGCCAUAACGAGCGCAACCCUUGCCACUAGUUACUAACAGGUAAAGCUGAGGACUCUGGUGGGACUGCCAGCGUAAGCUGCGAGGAAGGCGGGGAUGACGUCAAAUCAGCACGGCCCUUACAUCCGGGGCGACACACGUGUUACAAUGGCGUGGACAAAGGGAAGCCACCUGGCGACAGGGAGCGAAUCCCCAAACCACGUAUCAGUUCGGAUCGGAGUCUGCAACCCGACUCCGUGAAGCUGGAUUCGCUAGUAAUCGCGCAUCAGCCAUGGCGCGGUGAAUACGUUCCCGGGCCUUGUACACACCGCCCGUCAAGCCAUGGGAGCCGGGGGUACCUGAAGUCCGUAACCGCGAGGAUCGGCCUAGGGUAAAACUGGUGACUGGGGCU
rnacentral:rRNA from 1 species